CCUACGGGCGGCUGCAGUGGGGAAUAUUGGGCAAUGGGCGCAAGCCUGACCCAGCAACGCCGCGUGAAGGAAGAAGGCUUUCGGGUUGUAAACUUCUUUUCUCAGGGACGAAGAAAGUGACGGUACCUGAGGAAUAAGCCACGGCUACAUACGUGCCAGCAGCCGAGGUAAUACGGAGGUGGCAAGCGUUAUCCGGCGUGAUGGGGUGGAGAGGGCGAGUAGGCGGGAGCGCAAGUCAGAUGUGAAAACUCAGGGAUCAACCCUGAGCCUGCAUUGGAAACUGUGUUUCUUGAGUGCUGGAGAGGCAAUGGGAAUUCCGUGUGUAGCGGUGAAAUGCGUAGAUAUACGGAGGAACACCAGUGGCGAAGGCGGAUUGCUGGACAGUAACUGACGCUGAGGCGCGAAAGCGUGGGGAGCAAACAGGAUUAGAUACCCUUGUAGUC
rnacentral:rRNA from 1 species